rnacentral:tRNA from 1 species
GCCCUCUUAGCGCAGUGGGCAGCGCGUCAGUCUCAUAAUCUGAAGGUCCUGAGUUUGAGCCUCAGAGAGGGCA